CAGGAUCCACAACAAGAAUCCGCCUUUUUAGCGUCUAAAUUUAGCGUCCGACUGUAUAAGUGGACGAUAAGUUUUUACUUAGCAUCCGAUAAAAGACAGACGCAAAUUAGUGUCCGCUUUCUGAGAUUUAGCGUCCGUUAUUCUAAACUAAUGCUAAUUAGCGUCCGUUUGAUUAAAUUACCGUCCGAAAGACGGACGCUAAAUAAGAGAUAUAAAUAAAUAAAUAAUACCGCAAGGCGACCAAAAUAUUAACCCUAAAAACCCACGCCUCUCUCUCUCUUCCUCACUCUCAUCUCACGUUUCUCUCUCUUCCUCACUCUCAUCUCACGUUUUGAUGCCCUCUCUUUCUUUCAGAUCUCACAAAAUCAGGUCGAAAUCGAACCAGUACCCAAACACAUCUUUGGUUCAGAUCGAAGGAGUUAACACACAAGAAGAAGUUGAUUGCGUGGUAUUUGGGAAAGAAAUUGGCUGAAACUAAGAAGAAUGGGUCCCCCUAAAUUCAUGGUAACAGUGGUGUUGUUCUUGCUAAGUUCACUUCUAAUCUUCCCCCUAAAUCCAUGGUGGCUGGCGCGGUGGAGGGGUGGCUGAUGCGCUGGUGAGGUUUCUGGUGGUGCGGUGGCUGGCCCGGUGGUGCAGUAGCUCGGCAUUGGCAGUGGUUCCGACUAGUAUUUAUUGAAAUUGUAUUAGAUUUUAGUUACAAUGUAAUUACACUAUUAUAAUACUAAAUUUUGGUAUAGAUUGUAAUUGUAUAUAUUUAAUUUAAAUAAAAUUAUCAUUUGUUUAA